CCCUUAGAUGUCCUGGGCCGCACGCGCGCUACACUGACGAAGGCAACGAGCUUUCCUUUACCGAAAGGUACGGGUAAUCUUUUGAAACUUCGUCGUGCUGGGGAUAGAUCCUUGCAAUUUUUGAUCUUAAACGAGGAAUUCCUAGUAAGCGCAAGUCAUCAACUUGCGUUGAUUACGUCCCUGCCCUUUGUACACACCGCCCGUCGCUACUACCGAUUGAAUGGUUUAGUGAGGCCUUCGGAUCCGCGACUCGUUUUGUGGAGAAGUUGGACAAACUCAGUCAUUUAGAGGAAGUAAAAGUCGUAACA
rnacentral:rRNA from 1 species